CUUGGUUCUUUUGGGAGAGUAAUGCUCCACUGGGUCCUGGGGACAGAGACAUUCUUAUUCUUCUUACAGACUCAGCAUAAGGAGCCUUUCUUUUAAUUCCACUUUGCCAAUCUAUGGGGAAGGGCCUAUUUGAGGGGAAGCAGUAUUUUGCCCCUAAAAUUCUGAACUGACCAGUGUCCUGCUAUAGGCAGGUAUGGUUCUGUUGUCCCAAACGCCUUUGAGUCUGAAAUGUCCAUUAUGGGAUUUUGGCAUUUUUUAUCAGCAGGAAUACACAACUAUAGAUUAGCUGAAAACUAAAAUAUUUACUUUUGGACAUAAACCAAAGUUCCAUAAAUGGAUAACUGAUGACCACUAUAUUGAACAGGGUGUCUAAAAACUGAUAUAAGAUGCAAGGGUUAUCUUGCUCUCCAGUUACAGAGUACAGCAGAAUCUGACUAAUUCACAUCUAUGAUUGGGGCCCAGAUUUUUCCCCCUUUGCGUUUAAAACUACAGCGGAGGACUUUUU